rnacentral:lncRNA from 1 species
CACAAUCAAACCGUUGGCCACAGCUGUAGCGCACUGCCAACGACACCCUGUCAACCGACACCUCCUUCACCAUUUAAAUAUCUGAUUUAGUUCAUACUUCACACAUAAGCACUCCCUGCCUUCUCCCAAUUUAACAAACCCUAACCACAUCUCCUCUUCUAAAAAUGAAGGCAACAAGGAUGAACAUUUUCGUUGCAAUUGUGAUGCUGUCGGUGCUUAUGGCUUCCCACAAUGUGGCCGCUCAGGAGGCCCCCGCGCCCAGUCCUGACUCCGAUGCCGCCAUUUUCGUACCCACGGCUUUGGCUUCCAUUGCCGCUCUCGCAUUUGGGCUACUCUUCUAAAUUAUCAUCGGCAGCUGGUGGCGCGUCUUCAGAUGCAGAGAGGCUUGUUUGGUUUUAUUUUUGUCAUUCUUUCAUAUUUAUUUACGGAUAUUUAUAUUCUUGCUUGUUUCAUUUAUUAUUAUAUAUAAUAUAAAUAUAUAUUCUUGUGAUUUUUUCUUUCUUCUAUAUUUUGUCUUAAUUUAUGUUGUGAAUCAUUGUUAUAGAGCAUCUAUCCUAUUCCUCCGAUUAUUAAAUUUGCACAAAUAAAUUUUAGUUAAAUAGGAUUAAAUAAUUAUAUAUUUUUUUAUUAGAAGUUUACUAAAUAAGUAGCACUGAAAAUAAAUUUGUAUUAGUAUUUAUAUUAGAUAUUAGAUAAUUUAGUACUUGAAGUUGAAACUUACUGAUAAAAUUUCUGAAAUUUAUUUACCAAAUAUCAGUGUUUUAGUGAUAUUUAAAUAAUUUUAAUUUGAAUUUUUUAUUUGAAUUCCAGCCACCGAUUGUAAUAGUAUUAUGAUCAAAUUUCAAUGAGACGAAAAGUGCACGCUUCCGACUUCUGAGACGAAUAUUCAAUAGAUCAAUAUGUCGAGAGGAAAUAUGUAAAUGUUAUGAGUUUAAUAAUACGAUUUCUUUUGUCUAUGAAAAAUUGUGGGCAGACGUAAUUGGGACAUGUUAGAAGAAAAAAAAUGUUGCCCUACUCGAUAGAGAUUUUUUGAAGAAUCAAAAGAUAUGAUAUUUUAUAAAAAUGGGUUGAACUAAGACUGAAUAAUACAAUUUUAAAACUUCAUCAUGAGUAUUCAGAUUUAUUCAUUAUUGACUAAAAAUAUCACCUCAACUUCAUUUAAAACGAGUAUUUUGAUUUAAAAGUUUGAGCACGAAUUAAAAGGAAUUUUUAGAAAAUUUACAGUAAUGGAAAGAAACGAAGAAGAGGAUGAAAAAAGAUAUAUAUAUAUAUAUAUAGGGAAAUUUUCUUUAAUUUUUUUUUUUAUGCAUUGAUUCUUAAUUUUUUUUUUUUUUUUUGGUAGAUCUUGCCAUCUUGGUAGAUAGAAAAAUACAGCAAAAUAUAUUACUAGGCAAUAGUUUAGUUAAAAAUUCAUUUUAUUUCUUAAACAAGAAUGUAAGUUAAUGACCCAAGUAAUUUGGGCCUCUUAUUUAGACCAAUUUUGUUGUUGUAUUUUAAAGGGCUAGAGACCCAACCCAAAAAAUAAGGAAAUAAUUUGUUGGGUCUUGGAGUUCUAAUUUUUCUUUUGAGGCCCCUUCAAAUUGGAGGCCAGAGCCGGCCCU